UUCGGGAACAGCUCCGGAAGUAAAUUCCCAACUCUCCUUCCCUCGCCUUGCCAUUUUUUCUUCUGCAGCUGAUGACGUUAAAUUCGCAGAAUAAUAAUUGGAAAAAAGGAGAAAAAAAUGUAUUUUCCCGUGGGUGAUCCAUACUGGAGAUGUAGUGUUCCUCCUCAGCCUGAGGGAGGAAGCAGCCCAAAACAAAUCUUUGUUGGGUACUUGUCAUCUGAGGCAUCUAUGCUGAUGACUCCUCAUCUGUGGAGCUCUAAUGAUGGGAAGGGUAGUUCAGACUACUUGGGGAAAGAUGUAAGUUAUUGAAGUUUAUAGGCUUUGCCCUGUGUAAUCUUUGUAUAGUGAGUAAAGGGCAUCUGUUUUCGGUAAUUAGAUCCUACAGUCACAUCCAGGUGCAUAUGGCAUAGAUGUCAGGCAUAUUCAUCCUGAAACUGGUCUUGGUGGACUAACAAGUGGGACCAGCAUUAGAGGUUAUCCAUCUCCAUUGAGAGAUCCUAGUUCACUAGGCCAAAGACCAGAUGUUGCUUCUCAUCCGAGUCCCAGAAUCCAUGAUAACAUCUUUGAUAGGCCGAGUUCUUUGAGAAGGAUUAAUGGCCUUCCAGUUACGGAGGAGAAUCAAACAUUCUUUUUGUUGAUGGGCUUCCAACUGACUGUUCAAGAAGAGAAGUAGGCCAUCUUUUCCGUCCUUUUAUUGGCUUCAGAGAGCUUAGAGUUGUUCACAAGGAGCCCAGACAUGCAAAGUGGAGAUAAAGCCUGAGUGUUGUGCUUCAUUGAGUUUGCUGAUGCAAACUGUGCUCUUACGGCCAUGAAGCCCUUUAAGGUUAUAAAUUUGAUGACAAGAAGCCUGACUCCCUUUCUUAAGCAUCCAUUUUGCCACUUUUCCUUUCCGUUUACCAUCUGAUCAAGAUGAUCAACAGUCUGGAGGUUUACGGUGAUAUUGCAGAAGUUCUGAGGCGCUGAAAAGUCAGGGUAGCCCAAGUUAUGCAGCUCGCAAAUUCAGCAGUUUAGGUUCUGAAUUCUGGAGGUAGCUAUGUUACUAUAGCACGACAAACUUUGGUUUCAGUUCGAGCUCAAUCAGCCCUUUAGCUGUAAUUCCUGCUUUUAACCUCUUCCUCAAGACUGAACCAGCUACUCCAACUGCAAGGGGUCAUCAUGUGGAAAAGUAAAGUUUGAGAGAGCCAGACUGAUGUAGUACAACUUGGAUAAACUACACAUUACAACGAAGAAAUUUUUGUGCAUGUCUAUAUGCCGAGCCGGGACCUUGAUCAGCAGAAUUGUCUAUUACAAUUUUUGUGCAUUCCUACGUGUUUUUGUGUGUGGCAGAAUUGGAGCCGGGACCUUGAUCAGCAGUGAUUUUCCACCUUAAAGACAGCCCUUCUUUGUUGGUCCAGGUUGGUUUCAGCUCGCUCAUAAUUACUUCUUGUUGAAAAAAAUCGACUGCUGAACUGCUAAUGAAUAUGAAUUUCCUGUGAGCAUCAUCUAGACCGUGGUGUAAGAUGACAGGAGGCAAAUGAUGCAGCUGUGGAGUCUUUUUUUCAAAAAAAUAUUUUUUUUGGCGUGCAUGGAUCAUGCAGUUUUGCUGCCUUGACACUUUCUGUUGUAUCACCGGUCAAUAACCGUUUUUACGGCAUUUUGGUUCGGGACCUCGGGUUGUAACAUGGUAGUCUAGAGUAAACGAGGUAAUUUGCUGAUUGCUACUGGGUUACAAGUCGAGGAAUAUUAAUGAAACAAGAAAAAAUAUUUGUCAACCUGGACUGCAGCGAUCAAGGUGGGUUGGCUCAACCACCUCUGGGUUUUUUUGCAGCAUUUAAAAUCCUAUUGACUUUUGACAGAGGAAAGAUGACUUCCUGAAGAGUGGCAUGAUUAUCAAUAAUGUUGACUUGUGAUUAAUGUAUGUGUGGUUGGGAGUCAGUACUGACUUGAUCUGAUAUAUACUAAAACUCAGUGGUAGCGUGUUAUUUUAAUCUG